rnacentral:rRNA from 2 species
UAACACAUGGCAAGUCGAGCGAAUCUGAUGGGAGCUUGCUCCCUGAUGAUUAGCGGCGGACGGGUGAGUAACACGUGGGUAACCUGCCUGUAAGACUGGGAUAACUCCGGGAAACCGGGGCUAAUACCGGAUAACUUUUUUCUUCGCAUGAGGGAGAAUUGAAAGAUGGCUUCGGCUAUCACUUACAGAUGGACCCGCGGCGCAUUAGCUAGUUGGUGAGGUAACGGCUCACCAAGGCGACGAUGCGUAGCCGACUUGAGAGGGUGAUCGGCCACACUGGGACUGAGACACGGCCCAGACUCCUACGGGAGGCAGCAGUAGGGAAUCUUCCGCAAUGGACGAAAGUCUGACGGAGCAACGCCGCGUGAGUGAUGAAGGUUUUCGGAUCGUAAAACUCUGUUGUUAGGGAAGAACAAGUAUCGUUCGAAUAGGGCGGUACCUUGACGGUACCUAACCAGAAAGCCACGGCUAACUACGUGCCAGCAGCCGCGGUAAUACGU